rnacentral:tRNA from 1 species
GGGCCCGUAGCUCAGUUGGUAGAGCGCCUGCGUGGCACGUAGGAGGCAAGGGGUUCGAUCCCCCUCGGGUCCACCA